AAUACCAGCAUUCAAGCGCUUUACAUUUCCCUCUUGAGAAAGAAGAACUGUUUUACUCUUCAAUUUAUGGCUUUGGUGUGAGCUGAAUGUAGAGGCUGAAUUGAAUCAAUCCAAAUUAGUUAUAUUAUUCUUAUAUGGUAGCAGCAAAGUAAUUAUUACUUGUCUUGGAAAAUAUAUAAAAAAAUCAAUGCUGUAGUACUCAAGCUCUGCGAUUUCUAUCUUUCUCUAGGUUUUUUAAUACCUUUCUUUCAGAAAGGAGUAGAAUUUCCCCUUUUGAAUUUAUGGGUUCUACUGUGAACCCAAUUGACCUAGAUAAAUUGGUUGAAAAAUCUAACUUGACUCUCCUUUUCACCAGGUAUUAAGCUAGAAAGUCAAUUGCUCAAUAAUCAAUAUCUUGUAUCAUGGAGUGCAAUAAAGACGAGGCAGUCCGUGCACAAAAAAUUGCAGAAAAGAAGUUAAUGGAGAAGGAUUUUGUCGGUUCCAAAAAGUUUGCACUGAAGGCACAAGCUUUAAAUCCCGCUCUUGAGAUUGUCUCACACAUAUUAAUGACACUCGAUGUGCACAUGGCUGGAGAAAAGAAAGUUAGAGGUGAAGUAGACUGGUAUGGGAUCCUUGGUGUAACUCACAUGGCUGAUGAAGAUACAAUGAGGAACCGUUACAAGAAACUGGCCAUUAUGCUUCACCCUGAUAAAAACAGAUCCAUCGGUGCUGAAGGUGCGUUCAAGCUUAUUUCCCAAGCCUGGAGUAUAUUGUCUGACAAGAGUAAGAGGCUUGCAUAUAAUAAGAGAAGGGGGUUGGGAAUGUGCAUUCCAAAAGUACCUUCUCCUGUUGCAAAUGGCACACAUAGUUUCCCAGCUGCCGCUUCUGCCACUGCUGCCACUAAUGUAAAGACGCAAGAUGUUGGUAAUGGAAAAAGGGAUACGUUUUGGACUACUUGCAAUCGAUGCAAGAUGCACUAUGAGUAUGUUAGAGCAUAUGUUAAUAAGGUCCUGCGAUGCCCUAGUUGUCGAAAAACUUUUGUGGCUACUGAGACAAAUCCUCCUGUUAAUUUAUCAAAGCCAUUAAAUCCAUCCUCCCUUGGACCACAAUCUAAUCAGGCAACUGCUGCCAGAUCUCAACAUUCAGACCUAAGAAAGCCGGGUGGCCUUAAUUCUGAACAUAUGAUGUUCAAGCAAGGCGGCUCUACUUAUAAUAGACCAGUUGUGGGCACUCAAGCAACAAAUGUUGUCCAGCAGACAAAUAUGCUUAAGAGGAAAGAGAUUCAUGGUUGGGAUAGGGGCUCUGCUGCCUAUGGGACUUCUAGUUGUAAGAAGGCAAAAGGUCUAGAGGAACAUAAAGCAGCAGAAGUUCAUGGUCAUGGAGUUAAUAUGCAAGCUCCAACUGGAGGUAGCUUUAGAAGCAUAUCGAGGUCCUGGAUGAAUAAUGAUCAAGCUGCAUCUUUCAGCAAGCCGUCUAACAGAUUGAAAGAGCUGACUCCUAUUCAAACCAAGAAGAUGCUGUUGGGAAAGGCUCAGCUAGAUAUUCGCAGGAAGGUAGAAGAAUUGAAGUCAAAGUCGAUAAAUGAGAAGUUGAAGGAGAAUAAAAAAGUCAGAGAGGAAACAACUACUGUUAAAGUUGAUUCUGAUUCCAAGAGAAAAGAACCUUCCAUGGAUUCUGAUGAAGUAGUAAUAAUGCCUAAUGUGCAAUCCAUUGUUGUGCCGGACCCUGAUUUUCACAACUUUGACGAGGACCGAAGCGAGACUUCAUUUGGAGAAUCGGAGGUAUGGGCCGCAUACGACGAUACGGAUGGCAUGCCACGCUUCUAUGCUCUGAUUCAUAAGGUAAUUUCGGUGAAACCAUUUAAGGUACGUCUUAGUUGGUUAAAUUCUAAAAGCAAUGUUGAAUUUGGUCCAAUGAAAUGGGUGGCUUGCGGUUAUACAAAAACCUGUGGGGAAUUUUGGGUUGGGAAGCAUGAAGUGAACAAGACUCUGAACUCCUUCUCCCACAAGGUGAAGUGGGAAAAAAGUGCAAGAGGUAGUAUAAGCAUAUUUCCCAGAAAGGGAGAGGUGUGGGCUCUGUACAGGAACUGGUCUCCUGAUUGGAAUGAACAUACCCCAGAUGAUUUGGUCCAAAAGUAUGAUAUGGUGAAAGUGGUUGACGAAGAAGAAGGAAUCCAAGUGAGACCUCUUGUGAAGGCGGUUGGUUUUAAGACAGUUUUCCAUCAAGAUAGGGAUCCGGGUAAGCUGAUGAGGAUUCCUAAAGAAGAAAUGUUCCGGUUCUCUCAUCAGGUUCCAAGUUAUCUGCUUACGGGUGCUGAAGGUAAAGAAGGUGGUGGUGCUCCUCUGAUGGGGUAUGAUGAGUUGGACCCUGCUGCUACUCCUUUGGAACUUCUUCAGGUACUGACAGAAGAAGCUGCUGGAGGAGAAGGAAUACAUGACAAGUUCUUGCCAGGAAGAAGUCUACGGAAAAGCACUUAUGCAAGGAAUUCUGGAAGGAGUCAUGAAAGAUCUAAACAGUACUGUUCACACUACAAUAUAGAAGGACAUGGAAUAUAUGCAUGUUGCACAAAGAACAUUUCUAGACUGAUACAAAGGACAGAGAGAUCAAGGAACAAAGCCUUCAAACAUGAGACGAAGGUGGUUGAAACUCCACUUGACUUUUGUUGACUUAGAUCUGCAAGAAAAUUAUCAUCACACCAUCAUGGAGCUGCUGAAAUUGCUUAAUGGACUUUCAGACUGAUGAGAUUAUUAGAAAGGGUGAAUUAUGGGGGAAUCUCUACUUGUUUAGUUCUAAUUCAAUAAGAAGGAUGUUGUUCUAAUCUUACUGCACUCAAAAUUGAUGUAAUCUCAGAAGUAUGGAACAUGAGGCUAGGUCAUUCUCCUUUUGAUGUUAUGAAGCAUAUCCCUAUUAUUGAGACUUCUUUUUCCAAGGAUGAUUAUUAGCUUCAAUUUUGUAUUCCUAGAGUUAACAGAAGUUCGUUAUGGCUGAUACAAGUUAUGAAGAUUUGUAAUGACAGUUGAGAUUUUGGUAACAAGGUGAUUUGUUCUCGAUCCUUGCAAUAAAACGCGUGUGAACAAAUGAAAAUUAAAUGAGGUAUUAAGCUAGAAAGUCACCUCGACAGAUUCUCCAAAAUCAUGUAUCAUGGAGUGCAAUAAAGACAAGGAAUUCCAUGCACAACAAAUUGCCGAAAAGAAAUUGACGGAUACUUGGUUUGGAGAGUCAGG